GUGUGUGUGUGUGUACAGAUGAAGUGAUGAUAAUCUCAGACAGCGAAGAGGAGGAAGUUGUCAUUCUUCAUGAAGAAGCCCAGAAAUCCACGAAGACUUCUAAACAAAAAUGAACUUUGGCGCUGCAGAGGAUAGAGACGAUCAUAUAUCAGACUCCCAUACCGCUGGACACUAUUUGUUCUUUUUUGUACUAUAAAAUAAACUGAAAUGUGAAAAUA